rnacentral:lncRNA from 1 species
UGUUUGAGGGUGAUUCGGCCCUUGAAAACCCGCAGGUAGCGCGCGAAGUAAUUCGGCUCGCACUGCUCCCGGCUGACCGGGCCACGAUGCAGUCCAUGAGCUAUAACGCUUUCAUGGACGCCACUCGCUGUAACAUCAUCCGGGUAAGUAAAAUUUUCCCCCUACAAGAAUCGUUAUUAUAUUUCUUUUUUGUGGCGCCUUACAUCUCUCUUUCACAGCACGUGCACGAGAAGGAGAUGUUGAUGCACCUGGUCCACGAAUACCGGGGGGAGGCCCGGAGGCGCGAGCGCAGUUCCGAGGAGGCCCAGAAAAGGUACAUGGCUGCCGAGGUGAAGUACCUGGCCUCCGAGGAGAAAUACCAGGCCUCCGAGGCCGAACAACGGGUGCUCCAAGAGAAGGUCGGAGCAUCCGAUGAAAGAAUUUGAGCUCUGACCGCCGAGCUCGAUGAAGAGAAGGGCGCGCAUGCGUUGGCACGGUCCGAGCUGCGCGCCGUAGAGGCUCGGCUAGUCAAGGCCGAGGAAGCACUGGCUGCCCAUGGGCAGGAAUUGGAGGGCGCCCGCGGCCGCCACCUAGAGCUCGAGCGGGAGCUUAGGGACCUCGAGCGGAAGGCCUCUUACCACGAGGUCCGGGAGAUAGAGGCCCGGGAGAGCGCCCAGAACGCAGUGCAGCUCUUCCGCGAGUCGGAGGAGUUUCGCGACCUCUUAGCAGAGGAGGGCGUGAACGGGUUAAUCCAAGGCUUUCNNNNNNNNNNNNNNNNNNNNNNNNNNNNNNNNNNNNNNNNNNNNNNNNNNNNNNNNNNNNNNNNNNNNNNNNNNNNNNNNNNNNNNNNNNNNNNNNNNNNNNNNNNNNNNNNNNNNNNNNNNNNNNNNNNNNNNNNNNNNNNNNNNNNNNNNNNNNNNNNNNNNNNNNNNNNNNNNNNNNNNNNNNNNNNNNNNNNNNNNNNNNNNNNNNNNNNNNNNNNNNNNNNNNNNNNNNNNNNNNNNNNNNNNNNNNNNNNNNNNNNNNNNNNNNNNNNNNNNNNNNNNNNNNNNNNNNNNNNNNNNNNNNNNNNNNNNNNNNNNNNNNNNNNNNNNNNNNNNNNNNNNNNNNNNNNNNNNNNNNNNNNNNNNNNNNNNNNNNNNNNNNNNNNNNNNNNNNNNNNNNNNNNNNNNNNNNNNNNNNNNNNNNNNNNNNNNNNNNNNNNNNNNNNNNNNNNNNNNNNNNNNNNNNNNNNNNNNNNNNNNNNNNNNNNNNNNNNNNNNNNNNNNNNNNNNNNNNNNNNNNNNNNNNNNNNNNNNNNNNNNNNNNNNNNNNNNNNNNNNNNNNNNNNNNNNNNNNNNNNNNNNNNNNNNNNNNNNNNNNNNNNNNNNNNNNNNNNNNNNNNNNNCUGAAAUAUUGACUGGCUCUUAUCUUGUCAAUGUUCUCAUAAACUCUUGAGACUAGGUCACAUGACAUCUUUUCUUCUUCCAAUAAACUCACCUUAUAACUGGUUAAACAAUACUCUAAAGCUUUCUUGCAGAUCGACACCUAGAACUCCUAGCAUCCCAUUCUUCUUAACCUCUUUUUUCUUUCUUUUCUUUUUUUUCACUGAGAAAUUCGUUCUUGUUAACCUCAUUCCAAAAGGAACCUGCAACUAUUCGAAGAACUGCAUUUCAUGCAUGCACAUUCAGAUGGUAUAGGUCCAACCAGUUAUACCGAAUUAGGACGAUUUUUCGGGAAAAUGGCCAACCAUAAUGACCUGGGUGAGCUCUCUCCGAGCCGAGUCCACGACUUGGCAAGCUCGGCAUUUAAUGCGAUUAAGGUGUUGUCAGUUUUUCAGCUCCCAAGGUGCCAGGUCUCCCCACUUCCAUGGGUUCGCCCUGUCCUUCUCUCAUCGAGCUAACUACUGCUUUGUUGGGGCGGACUGUUCUAAAUUUCAAAUCUCCUUUCUUGGCCACCUACUCUAAUGUUUCUUGCAGACCCUUAAAAAAAAAUAAUGAGACAUCUCAAUUUUAGGUCAGACUAAUUUUUCUGGCCUCGAACAUAAAGCAAAAUAAAUAAUUUCGACUCCAACCGAGAAGUGCCAGCCGAAAAGAACCAUCAGCAUGCAUAGACAAAGGCUAACGGCCUUAACAAUCGACAACCCUCGCAGUCCGUAGUCAAUGCAGCCCUACAUCAACGUCAGACCUAUGUUGCGCUCUUCCCAUGCAGACUGACCCCCGCACAGUAGUCGUACCACCGGCUGCUGCCUAGCAUCAUUUCACAUCACGUCUCAAUCUCGUCCCAACCGCCCGUGUCGAAUGAGUGCCUCAGCUCCGAAAACACUCUUCGGUGUCGUGGUCAUGGUCUUGGUGGAAGCAGCAGUAGAUCUUCUUAUCCCUGUUGAAUGUCAUUGCCUUCAUCCGACAAGGAGAGUGUAGGUAGCCUUGGCCUUCAAUUUAUAUGAGGAUCUGGGUUCUCAAAGCAGUAAGAGCGGUGUACCUCUCAAACUUUCUAGGAGGGGGCUCUUGGGUCGUCGCGAGCCCCUCUCACGCCGAGGUGAGAUAUUUCUCGGCUCUCUUUACUUUUCGUGUCCCCUCUUGCUUCCUUGGGGGGUCUCCUGUUGGCAGACACGCUGCAGGAGGCCAUGGCUUUCUCAACAUGGGCAUACUUGUCAACCUGUGCCAACAUUUCAAUAAAGUCGUCGGAAAAGUGCCUUUUUAGGAAGAAGAGGAAGCUCGACGGCUAUAGGCCGCUCUUCAUCGCAGACAUCAUAACCGACUGGUCCAUGUUGUGGACCUCCAAUGUAGCCACGUUAAAACAGAUGACAUAUUCUCUGAGAAAUUUUCUCUCCCUCUGCUUGAUGUCGAGCAGCGCGUCUGAGCCACGGUGUUGUCUUCGGCUGGAGACGAAGUAUGCCGCGAAGAGGCAAGCGAGUUGCCCAAAGGAUUGGAUGUAUUUGGGCCGAAGCUUGGAGAUAGAGCUGAUCACGGGCCUUCUGGCCCGCCCAGCCCGGCUCGAAAUUUUUUGGGCUUGGGCAUUAAAAAAAGGCCCAUGGGUCGGGCCUGGGCAAGAAAAGCGGCCCGAGCAAAAAAAUCGGGUCGGGCCUGGGCGGGCCAUUUUGGCCCAUUUCCAUAUUCCAAACAAAGAAAAAAUCGGGCCUGUCGGGUCGGGCCUAUCGGGUCGGGCCAGGCUAGACGGGCCUAGAAUCAGAUUUAUAAAGUCGGAUCGGGCCUGGACAAAAAUUUAAGCCCGACAGUCGGGCUGGGCCGGGCCUGGGCAUAGCCAUCGGGCCUAAUUUCUGCUGUAGAGCCCGGCCCGAGCCUGGCUCGGCCCGGGUUUUGAUCAGCUCUACUUGGAAAACUAGAACUGAGCCACUUUGCGAAGGGUCGCAAGGAACGCCUUGCAAAGUACGACAUCAGUGGCUCCAUGCUGCAUUAUGAGAGCCUUGAAGCUAUCAAGGUGAUCUAAAGGACUGAGGUGUCGUCGUACGGCUCCACUUACGGUAUUUUGAAUCGAGGUGGAAAAAGGGAGGCUCCAAGGAAAAGUUGAGUGGUUGCUCACCCUCGAAGCUUAUCCUUUAAGGGCCUAAAUCUGUCGACCCAUUUUCUUGAUUCUCCUAUCAAGGUUGGCUUCCCACUAUAGUGGGGGCUCCACAAGAUGAACAGGCUAAAGGCUCCAGACGGAAUCGCCGCCAAACUGAUAACUUGAAACGCAUUGUUUCCUCUUUCGGUCGGGGGCACUCCUCUGGGUAUGUCGACUCUGACACAAUGGUUCAGGGUCUUGGUCUUAAGAGGAGUAGCUGACCAGGUGCAUAUGGUGUGCCAAUUGCUCAGAGCGGGGGCUAGGCUGGCCGAAUUCUGGUAGGUCCAGCUCCGGUUGCCCCACUGCCUGUUGCAGGCUCUAGACCGCUACGGUCAACGCCUGUACCUAUUGAGUGAGCAGGUCGAACUGCUCCUUAUCCACAAGCACGGCGGGUCAUUCCGACGGAGCGGGUUCGGGGCUCUCAACAACCCUCAGGAGGUUGGAGCGCGACAUUGCGUAGCACGCGAUGUGCCAUGGGUUCCUUGCGACCUCAUGCCGAUUGUCUCUCCCUUCGAUUAGGGUUGAUGUAGCUGAGGAUGGGCCAUUUCUCUAGCGCCAAUCUGUUCCCAUAAAAUUCAAACCAAGAUAGAAGUACAGUUCGGACAACUUUGAGGUCAGCGAAAGGUGAGCUGUGCAACUCGUUGAGGCAUUGGGUGCCAGUCUCCUCCGUAGGGAGGCAUGCAAAGAAGUUUGCUUGCCGAAGAAUUUUCGGUGGGAGACCCCCCGAUGCUUGAGUCAGAACAACGAGACAACAAUAUAAAAAUGAGAGACUUAGCAGAGUAUCGCCUCCCUAAAUAGUAUUGCAUGUUGCGUACCUCAAGUCUCCCGAGCUACCCCUUUAAAUAGAGGAGCUAGUUUUAUUGUUACUUGGGCUGACGUGACAUGCAAUGAUGCCAAAUAGUAGUCGGUGGUACAACCGCAAUGUAGGGAUCAGUCUGUGUGAGCAGAGCGCGGCGUAAGUUUGAUGCUGGACAUGGGGCUGCCAUGAUUAUAGAUUGCCAAGGCUGUCGAUUGUUUGGGUCGUCAUCCCUUGUCGAUGUGUGCUAAUGGAUCUGCUCGGCUGGCGACUCCUUAGUUGGAGAUGAAGUCGUUCACCUCAGUUCAUGUCUGAAGUCAGAGGGGUCGAUCUGGCCCGAGGUCGAGGUGUCCAAUAUUUCUUCCAUCUAGAUGCAACCCCCGAAGACCGUCAAAGAAGUCCAGUGCCUGACUGAACAGAUCACCGCACUUAUAAAAUUCGUUUCCAAAUCUGUGGAACGCUACCUCCCCUACUUCAACGCCCUGAAGCACCCGAAAGACUUCCAAUGGAUCAAGGAGUAUCAAGAGGCCUUCGAUUAACUAAAGGAGUACCUUAGCUUAUCGGCCCUUCUCAUUAAACCGUAGGCCAAAGAAACACUACCUAUACCAGGCCAUUUCUCCCACCAUUGUGAGUUCGGUUUUAGUCUGAGAGGAGUAGGGAUGCCAGAAAUCGAUCGACUACACAAGUCAGAAUUUGCGGGAUGCCAAGACUAGAUAAUCCAAACUAGAGAAAACGGUCUACGCCCUUAUCAUUUCAGCUCGGAAGAUCUAAGUAUACUUCCAAGCCCUUCAAUCAACGUCUUGGCUGACCAACCGAUGAGAUAGGUUCUCUAGAAGCCUGAAAAUGGAGGACAGCUAGCAAACUAGGUGGUGGAGCUCAGAAAAUUUGACAUGGAAUAUCGACCUCAGUCAUCUAUCAAGGUGCAAGUGUUGAUAGACUUCCUAGUGGAGUGCACUAUCCCUAAUUAGGAUCAUGCCAAGCUCCCUAAAAAGAUGAAUGUCGUAGUGAAACCGUGGAUUCUACACAUGGACGGGUCAUCAAGCUUGGGGGGCAGUGAUGUUCAGCUCAUGCUUACCAGCCUGAAAGGAUUAAUCACCGAGUACACCCUAUGAUUCGAGUCCUUGUUUUAAAUAAUGAGUGCGAAUAUAAAACACUCAUCACCAGGCUCAAACUCUCCAAGGAGCUUAGGGUCCAAUAACUCAAGGUCUUUAGCGAUUCACAAUUGGUGGUCGGCCAAAUACAAGAAGAAUUCGAGGCUUAGGGGCCCUCAAUGAUCAAGCAUCUAUAAAAUGUAAAUGACAUCACCUCAGUCUUUUGUAAUUUUGACAUACAACAGAUUCUUCGGAUGGAAAAUGCGAGAGCCGACCUGCUGUUAAAGUUGGGCACCUCAGAGAUUGUCGAGCUAACCAAAGCCACCUACCUUGAAGUCCUAGAGGCACCAAGUAUCAACGAACUCGAGAUUGUGCUUAAUACCACUAUCAAACCAAGCUGGAUUGAUCCACUUGCCGGCUUCUUGAAAGACAAAAUGGUACCAACGGACCAGCUUGAAGCCCACAAGAUAAAGCGACAGACCACCCAUUAUGUCCUCCUCAAUGACGUCCAACGGUGACAAGCAAUGCCAUUGACACCGAUCCAUGCCCCUUGCCUAUUCGUGCAGUAGGGGAUUAACAUCUCGAAAUGUUCCUAGUGUAGCCGGGCAGCACAAGUUUUUUUUUGUAGCCAUGGACCACUUCACCAAGUGGGCAAAAGCCGAGCCAGUUGCUCGAAUUACUGAGGCAAAAGCUCAGAAAUUCGUCUGGCAGAACAUAAUCUGCAAGUUCGGGCUUCCUCGAAUAAUCAUCACCGGUAACGGGCGUCAAUUCGACAAUGCCUAGUUCAGAGAGUUUUGCACCAAGCAAGGAAUCAAUCACUAAUUCACUUAGGUAGCCCACCCCCGAUCCUACAAGGAGGCUGAAGUGACCAAUCGGACGAUCUUGCAAGGGCUGAAAGCAAGACUGGAUCAGGCAAAAGGGCUGUGGACUGAAGAGCUCCACAGUGUCCUAUGGGCAUAACAGACUACAUCUCGAGUCCCUCUAGGAAAACACCCUACAACCUUGCCUUAGGAAUAGAAGCAGUGAUCCCACUAGAGAUCGGACUUCCGUCACUUCGAGUGUUCAACAAUCAAAAAAAUUUGGACCAACUCUGAGCCAACCUCGACCUAUAAGAACAAACCCGAGAGCGAGCUUGGAUCCACAUAGCGGCGUACCAGUGAAGAACAACUCGGUACUAUAACUCAAGGGUCAAAAGCAAGCUCUUCCAAGAAGCAUCCUGACUAGGAGAACUUAGAAAGCUGAGCCCAAAUUGGGAAGGCCCAUACUGAGUAACCGAAGUUGUGCGACUGAGAGCAUAUCGACUGCAAUAGCUCGACGUCACUUCUAUUCCACAAACAUGGAACUCCGACAACCUACGCGUCUAUUGUCAGUAAAGUCCAUUGUACUCCAGGCUCGUCUCUAAUAAAAGAUUCUCUUGUUAUAUUUUUGUCUCCAGAUUGGACAAUCAUGACAAGCAUGCUCUGCUUGGGACACCUCGAGGAUGCCUAGGCCCCAAUAAAGGAGACUCUCCAAGGAUGCCUAGGGCCUCCUUAAACCGAGAUCGCUCGGGAUUCCUCUGAGACCCCAGUCCGGAGAUGAGAAGACCAAGCCCACUCGGAUUUUCUCUAGGUAGCCAACCUCAGAGAUACCUCCGGAAGCAUCCUCCGGAGAUGAGAAGAUCGAGCCCACUUGAAUUUUCUCUAGUAGUCAACCCCAGAGAUGCCUCUAGAAGCAUACUCUAGAGAUGAGAAGAUCUAGCCCACUCAAAUUUUCUCUAGGUAGCCAACCCCAGAGAUGCCUCCAGAAGCAUACUCCGGAGAUAAGAAAAUUGAACCCAUUCAAAUUUUCUUUAGAUAGCCAACCCCAAAGAUGCCUCCAGGAGCAUACUCCAGAGAUGAAAGGAGGCAUCGACCUCGUCAAGAUCAGGCCCACUCGAAACUCCUCGAGAACCGGACUUUAGGAAAAUUAGCCGAGGAGAAGGGUUCGGCGAGAUGACCUAAACUCGAAUAAAGAUAAAAAUGACAAGUAAAAAUCAAAGCCAGGUACUUCAAAAAAUUCUUUAUUUAUAUUAUCAUCUGGUACGAAUAUUAAUGUCGACAGAAACCAAGCAAAAAGAGCUACAGUGAAAGGUCGAGGCUUGGCACAAUCUCAAACAAAGAGCAAACAACAACACGAUGCAAACCAAGACCGGAGUCAUAUACUUCGAAAAAUCUUUGUUUUCGAUAAAGUUGUGAAUUUUUACGCUGACCUCAGCAGAGGCCAAAUAAAAAGAAGAGUACAUUGAGCCGGCUCACCCAAGCAAAAGAAAGAGCAAAAAUGCUGAGGUAAAGGGCUUCGUUCGUCGCCUUCACCGCCCCCACCGCUACCGAGGUACCCAAUUUCCUUCGGUUGAAAACAUGUAGAUCUUCAUGAAGAUCCUUGCCUACAAGGUCGUCGCCCGAGGGGUCGGAUCCUCACACGUGAUCUGCGAGGUCAAGACCAAGAUCUAGGAUAAGAAGCGCAUCCCCCUGGAUCAGCUCCUUCGCCUCUCCCCUUCGACACCUUCACCGUUGCUGCCACCAACCUUGCCAUCUUCGAAGACUUCGGGGUCGUCGCCUUCAUCACCAUCUUCAUAGCCCUCGUUGUCAUCAUCGUCGUCAUCAAGACUGAAGAAGUCCAUCCUUGGAAAGAGCUGUUGUGUCCGAGCUUGGCAUUCUGUGAAGCCCUUCCCAAAGGUGUCGAUUGCAGUCUCCAAGGCAUCCUCUUUGAACUCCUCGAAAUCGCAGUAUUCUUUGACCACCUCCGCAACCUUCGCCUUAGCAUGAAUGACUUCGUUCAUGGCUUCGGCGGCCUUUCGCUCGACCUAGACCAACUUCUCGGCAAGCUCUAAGACCUUCUACUCAAAAGUACAAUAGGCCUCCCUGUCCGAGGACCAUUGCCCCUCAAUGAUCAUUGUCUGGGUCUGCAUGGCUAAGGCAUGUAAUUCCGCCGAUCCGAGUUUAUCUUCAGCUAUCUUCGCCCUCAGCUCGGCCUGCCAAGCCCUCGCCAAGCUGCUGGAAAUUGUAUCCUAAGUGUCAAUCGUCAGCAUGUUGAUGAUUGAAUUUUGUAAAUGAAUUGACAAAUUAAUAAAGUGUUAUUUGGCAUUAUUUAUCAUUUCAUUGUACAUCUUCAAAUGAACUCUUAUAUGAUGAAGUCCUUAGGACUUAUUUUAUGAUAAAGAAGGAUUUAUCUUCAAGUCCUUAAACCUGUUCGCGACCAAAUGAUAUGCUAUUAAUAGGACGACAGCAUUGUCGAGAUUAGGUCGUUGUAAGAUAUAUACGUUGGUUGUCUUCUUAACCAAGAAGUGUGGAGAUACUGAUAUGUCACACAGAUGAAGUAUAGGAGUAUAUUUCACUGAACGUGACCAAUUUCGAAACGCUCUACUGUCAAGAGAUGUUCCGAGUGGAUAUGGGUAUAAGUAUCCCUCAGACCUGAGAUCACCAUAGUGAUUAGCAAGCAACUCACUGUACUUUGGUACCGGACUAGCAGAAUUUCUAAUUCUGGGACGGAAGGUUACUAGGUGCAGUCAAGUACUUAUGAAAUAGGUGUGUGAGUCAAGAUAGAAUUGACCCCUCAUGAAAACAGGAGAUAAUGCUUUGUGUUUAAUUUAGCAAAAUCUUGGCCAGGAUAAUCCUUGUGAGGAGUCACAGGAUUUCUAAAGUUGAAUCACAUCAUGAAUGCACCGAUUACAGAGUUGACAGAACUCUGAGGUCAUCUUGGCAUUAGGAGUCAAAUGGAUGAAUUAUACAGUAACCAUAGUCCAGAAUUCUAGAAUAUUUGCUUCGCAUAUAUUCGGCCUAUCCGGAUGUUGGGUACCAUUGCUAGAUGGUCACAUCGAUUAGUUCAGAAAAUCAUUUUCGUACUACCAGCUUAGGUUCGAACCUAUGAGGUCACAUGCAUAGAAGUUUUCUAAUUGAUCAAGAUAGCUGAUGGAUGGUUGAGAAUCAUUCAGGGAUAAUUUGGUCAAUUCGAUUGGCAAAUUAUUCUAUAAAAUAAUUAAAGUAAUUAUUGAAGGAUUAAUUAGUAAUUAGAUUACUAAUAAACUCAAUUUGAUUGAAUAAUUGGACUAAGGAUAAGCCAAAUUGAAUUGGAUUUAAUUCUGGGCUCAAUCAGGAUUUUUGACCUAUUUGGAUUAGGUCUGAAUUAAAAGGACUUAAGUUGACCAAAUUGAAUUAGAUUCAAUUUGUGCUUAAUUAGGGUUUGACCUAAUUGGAUUAGGUUCAACCCAAACUAAUUAGACUUCACUAAUUGUUAGGAUUUGAUCGAAUUAAAUAGGUUUGAUCUGAACUGUUCGGAUUUCGAAGUCCAUAUGUCACUUGUUCAAUCAUGGUGCCAUGAAUUAAAUUUUAAUAUGAUUAAAAAUUUAUUUAAAUUAUUUAUUGGCACCAUGUGACACGUGGCAACAUCAGGGACCAUCCAUUUGAUGGGGCGACAUGAAGAGAUCAUGAAAUAAAUUUGAAUGAUAUCAUGCAGCACAUCUUCAUGGCGCCAUGACACAUGUAUGUAUCUCUCUCUCCCAUUUGCAUUUGAGUUUGAAUUUUGAAUUCAAACUCCACCCACCUCCAAAAGAUCCUCUAACCAUCAGAUUGUGGGCGUGGGAGAUGGAAUGGAGUGAGGGAAUGGGCGACAUGAUGAAUGGCCUUGAUUAGAUCAAGCUUCAUCAUGAUGAUGGCGCAUGAAACAAGCAUUUGAAUUCAAAUUCAAAACCCCACAAAAUCCUUCCCAAAUAUGGGAUGGUUGGCGUGUGAAGAGGAGUGAAGUUAGAGGGGAUGGCAACAAUAAAAAGACCUCCAUCAGUUGGUGGUCGAAUUGAAGAAGCAAAAGAAAAAGGAAAGGAAAAAGGCCUAGUGCAUGGAAAGAAAAAAUCUGCCUACCCUCUUCCCUCUCGCCAUUAGAUCAUCUUCUAAGUUCAUAUUUCCAUAGCUAUUAGGGGUCCCUGAUAAGAGCCUUUAGAUCAGAUCUAAGUCCUCUUCAAUCCCUACUAACCAUUCCUCCAAGUUCUUCCAAGAAGGCGAAUCAAAAGUUGAUAGCGUCGGGAAGAUCAAAACUCAGCAAAGGAAGAUCCUGCGCAAGCUAGCACUUCCGCGAGAUUAGAUCACUCCAAGAGCUUCACGUGGAUUACUCGUAGAGGCCAGACGAGUGUGUGCCUAUGAAGCUCGAGCAUCGGAUCCAUUACUUUCAUAUUUCAUAAAGGUAUGAAUCUAGAUCCAAAGUUGUAUCUCUUACAGGUUCCAAUUUUCGAGGAUUAAACCACUUUUGGGGCUCUUCACAGAGUAAUCUUCAGAGCCUAUUCAAUGGGCAUUCGAAGAUUAGUUGGGUGUUAGAUUAAUUGAGUUUAGAACUUAAUUAGUAAUCUCAUUUCAGAUCUGAAAUUAAUUAUGCAAUAAUUUUAGCAUAAUAAUUUAAACGAUUCCGGCAUAUUGAUCAUGAAUACUUGUAGGGGUACUUUGAAAUUUGAUUUCUUAUACAUGCUAGAAUUAAAAUGUUUAAUUCGAUUUUUCCACUACGAAUUUCAAAAUUAAAAAAUCUAUAUAUGGCUUGAUCCCCCUUGUGAAGGGGUACGUAGGCAACCCAAAUAGGUACAACCAUUAAAAUUGAAAAAGUUUUAAAUUUCAGCAUGCUAUCACUACUAGCAUCAUAGGAUCACUUUCACAAGCAAUCUCCGCCCUCGCCUCAACCGGAUGGGUAUGCUCCUUGGGGAUCUCCACCCUCGCCUUGUACUCCAAGAUGUGCCACGAGAGCGUCUUGAUCCUCUCAUACACGCAGCUGACCUUAAGGGCAUGCUCAAGAAAAGAGGAACUCAUUUAGUGAGGAAAGUAACUUGGUAAAGAUUUAUGAAACUCAUCCGAAUAACCGUGGCAUAGGCCCCAUCAAAGAAAUCGGUGGCAUCGAGGGAGAAUACGAGCUCCCUGUUGUCUCCGAGCUGCAUGGCUUGGACCAGCUCCCUCGCCACUUUGGGAGUCUCUAGAGCCGAAACAGAUUCUUCAACUGCGCGAUCCGAAGAGUAGGUCCAAGACACAUGGGUCGGGGCUGAAGUGUCCUCCCCGUCCAGGGCGGACAACUUGGGGUCCGAUCGACCCAAUGCGCAGAUUUUAGGAGAUGGUUGGCGUGGGGGUAGAGUGUCAAAGUAGGGUCCAGCAAAUACAACCCCUUCCGGAGGGGCUAACCCAGCUGGUUGAGCGACCUCGACCUUGGAGUCGGGCUCUACAAUCUCCCCCUGAGGAAUAGGCACCUCAUAGAAAACUUCAGGAACCAAGGCCUUGACGCCGACCUCGACGGUAGCCUUGGUGGCACGAGCCGAGGAGGACUUCCCCCUCGACCUUUUCCUUCAAGGAGCCCGGUGGUCACAGCCGAAUUCUUCACCUUCCUCCUUUCGCGAAUCAGCGAGAAAUCAAACUUCAUGGCAACAAGAGCUGCAAAAUCAAAGACAAAGUUACUUCACAAUACCGAGGUGAAAAGAUAGGAAAACCCAGGAAAAACUUACCCUAGGGGUCGGCCGGGCUCAAACCGGCCUUAAUCAGAGCUUUCUCGGACAACAGCUCCUGCAGGAUGAAAACUUGGAUCGAGAUUCUAGAAGCCUGUCCAAGGCCCUCUGAUCAUCGUUGGACAACCUCGAGGAGGACCGAUUCAAGUAUCUCUGAGGUGCCCUCCCCAUGGUGUCAAACUUCUAUGGCUACUUGGAGUGGACGAAGAAGAACCUCCCUUUCCACCCAUGGAUAGAAGAGGGAGUACCUCAGAGCAAGUGGCAGUCUUUCUAAGGAGAAAAAUGUCAUCAAUUGCUAUUUUGAGGAUGCCUCUUUAGGGUGAAGCACCCUCAGAAAAGGGGGACCGAGGCUCAGAUGCUCCGAAGGAAACAAAGAGAGAGAAAACCGACUAAGACCUGCCAAAAGUUUCGUACGAGUUGGGUUGGAACAAAGUUGUAGGACCCCAUCAGUUGCAUAAAGAAGGGGUGGAGAAGAAGUCUUGGCCCAGCCUAUAGAGUCUCCUUAUACAAGCCAAGCUGAGAAGGAUGCGGGUUAGUCACCCGAUCAUCGGGACGGGCGAGCUCGAAGAUGAACUCGGGGGGCACAAAGUAUUGAGCUCGGAUGAGGUCCAUUUCCUCCUGAGUAAGGACGCAUACAUCAUAGUCUGGGCCCGGCCAGACCUCAAACUCAGCUUCACCCGAGGGUGAAGGCUGAUGACCUCGAGAAGAGCCAUUAGACGGACGACUCUCCCCCGAGGCAAUGGCCUCAGCCCCCCUUAUGGUGACAGGAGAAAGACGAAGGGAAAGACCUAGAAAAAGAUAAAGAAAGACGGAGUGAAGACAAAGAAGAAGACAAGAAAGGGCCGAACAUCAAAAAGCGAAAACCCACUAAAGAUGGAGAAACAUGGAAGACGCCGACAUCGGGAGCAAAACGGAACACCACCCAGAAUCCUGGAUGCUCGGGUACUCGAACGGAGGGGCAGAUGGAGCAAAAGGUAGAGUCUGAGGGUUAGGGAUGCCUUAUAGGCAUGAACGGCCCCAAUCGGAGCACCGGUCCGGCUACCCGAGUAGAUUGGGCCACAUGUCAGCCUAAGGUAUGACACGGGCGAUCCGAGUAGAUCGCUGCAUUAAUUGCUUCUUUGGAUAGCUCGGAUCCAACAACACUUCGAGAAGACCAGUUGGCGCACUAAAUGCCUCUGACAAAAAUCUCACCCUCAAUAGAAGCGACUGCUCGACUUUCAUCACCCAAAUAGGAAUGCAGUUUGGCCUUGAAAGUGGGAGGCAAAUGAUGGAGAAAAUAUUGGACUCCUCGACCUCGGGCCAGACCGACCUCCUGAUUUCGCACAUGAACCAAAGUGAACGACUUUGGCUCUAACUAAGAAGUCGCCAGUUGAGGAGAACCAUCAACAUGCGUCGACAAGGACAGACAGCCCUUGCAGUCCACAGUCAUAGCCGCCGCACAUCCCACGUCAGACCUACGCCGCGCUCAAUCCAUACGAACUGACCGUGUGCCGCAGUCGUACCACCAACCGCUGCCUAGCAUCAUUGCACAUCAUGUCGAUUUAGAUAACGACAAAACUGAUUCCCCUAUAUAAAGAGGGUAGCCAAAGGGACUUAAAGUACAGAAUAUGCAAUACUAUUCACAAAGGCAAUACUCUGCUAAAAUUUCUCCCUUCCAUACUGUUGUCUUAUUAUUCUGACUUAGGCAUCGAAUGAUCCCUACCAAAAAUUCUCUAGCAAACAAACUUCUUGCAGACCACCUAGCAAAAAAAACCAAUGCCCAAUGCCUUAACUAGCUUGUUCAGCUUGCCUCCAGCCGACUUUAGGAUCAUCCGAACUACACUCCCAUCUCAGUCUAGAUUCCGUGGCAACACCACCCAUAACUCCCAAAAUCCCACUCUUCUUAUUCUCAUUCCAAAAGGAACCUUCUUCAAAUAUUUGAAGGGAUGCAUUUUAAACAUGCAAGUUCAGGUGGUCCAAGUCAAGUCGGUUAUACCAAGCCUGGAGGAUGAUUUUUUCAGAAAAUGGCCAGCUAUAUAACAACCUUAUAUGAUAUGAGUGCCAAAAUUUUUCCAGUCCAGUAAGCAUGUCAGAAGCAAAAUAAUAUUCAAGGCGAUUUGUGUGCGAGUACACAAAGCAAGUUUCAUUUUUUUCCUACGAAUGCAACAAUAAUGCUUCACUAAUGUAAAGCACCGGCAUGAAAGCUGCAUUAUAGUCUUACAUGAAUGGCAGGAUCAUUUAGGAGUUGAUAGCAAACAAGAUCAUGUUGUUGCCUUUUCUCUCCUUUCACUUUUUCUUACAUGUCCUGCUGAAGAGCAUAGCAGAAGCAAACAAAAAUGACCACUAAGACAUGAAUGUACCAAGAUUGUCCAUGGCAUAUAUACCCAAGCAUCUGCCACUACAUGCUCUGCUUGCUUGCUGCAUAUACAGGACUUGAGUUCUUCAUAUGAAAAAAAAUCAGUUAUUUUCAAUAGCUUCAGCUCCUCCCAAGUCUCCCAUGUUGUUACAACCACAUCUGGGACAUACAUACCUCCUCUGUAACUCCCCCCCAGCUGAAGCAUAAGCCUUCUCCAGUUCAUUAGUCUGCUUGUUUCUAGUUAGAGAAAAUGUUUGUCCAAACAGUGUAGAAUGGCAUCUUAAUUAUCUUAAGGUGAGGUAAAAAUUAUUAAUAUCAAUUCACUAAGUUGUUCUUCAUGUAUUAAACAUAAAUAUUUGAGGGAUGAUAAGAGAAGUCUAGACAAAAACAAAGGAUAUCCUGCUAGCUCUUGCAGCAGUUUCAUUUCUCCCAAAAUAGCCUCCACAAGGAACCCUCUUCUUUUAACAUUGGGUAGCUCCUUGGAAACCUGCAAGUGAUACUCUCUAGAUAUAAAAUGGAUUAAUUCCCAACACAUCUUACAAGAAAUCAAAAUUUGCAACAGACGAUACAAGCAUAGACUAUUUCGAAAGUAGCUUGAAUUAAAAUUUGUUCCAUCUAAAAGAAAGGGUAUGGCUCAUGGAAUAGGAACAAGCAUCAAUGACUUGAAGCCAUUCUUCAGCCACAAAUAAACAGAAACUUGCACAGUUGAAGUUCACCAUAUACUUACGAGCUGUUUCUAAUCAUUUAUGUAGCAACACCACUGGCAGUAUUGAAUUCUGAAAUCUAGACCCCAAAAUUACACUAGUGUACAUGGAGAUCUACAUCAGAUAAUGUUGGCACAAAAUUUAGUAAUAACCUUCACCUGUUACAUAUUCUAAUUUGAUUGCAGAUAAGUAAACACCAUAGCAAGGUCAUGAUGAACAUGAGAAUGUCUAUUUAUAUAUCUUCAGAAGAGAGUCAUAAUACAACUUUCCCAGAAUCCUUUUGAUGCUUAAGACAAACUUACACAGGCAUCAUACCUAAUGAACUUACAAAUUAUAGACUAGAGUGAAGGUGACCGUUAUCAACAGAAUGUGUGGAAUACAAAAAGCCAUUGAAAGGAGUUCGAGCUUAACUGGAGAUUCAUCCAUUAUGAAACAGCUAAAGCUGGUUUUCCUUUUUACUGAAACAAAUACACAUCAGCAAUAUUACUUACAGGACCCAAAUGAUAAUGCAAAGGGCCUUCGACUCACUUACAAAGCAUCAGAACUUAAUCAUAAAUCAUGAGGACUACAGAAAAUUGACCUUUGACCAUGUAGUAUCUAGUAUCUCAUUCUUAAAGCAUGAUACCAGAAUUCGUGCCAAAAUGAGUGCAUAUAUAGUUAAAAGCUAACCUAAUAACCUAAUUUUUGAGUCCAUAUUGUUUUCUAGAUCAUAUAAUUGAUGCUGGAAGAUGGCUACAUUACUCAUUUUUUUUGAAACAAGAGCACUUUAGUGAAGAAAGAAGAGGAAAACAAUGACAGCUCAUGUAGACCAAGGACCAACGAUUAUCAAGAUUGUGAGGCAGCCUGUAGAUCCUGAACCAUCUUCUACACUGAACUGGUGUUUAAACAGUGUUAGAGCCUCCCAAAAUCAGGCCAGGCUAUAGUGGCCCAUACUUGACAAGUCAAUUGUUCGGGUUUUGGAUCAAAGUCUAUCUGUAUUAGGAUUGGGCUGAUGAGUCAACAAGCUUAAGUGGGCCAAGAGUUAAGUCCUACCAGGACUUUAGAGUAGGAGUCCUAUUAAGACCAUGGAUUUCCUUGAUGGGUACGGAAAGCAAACUAUAAACUCGUAGGGCUUGGUCUCCAGUAACUUGAAAGCAUAAAAGUUCCAUGAAUUUUCCCAUCGAGUUCCAUGCUUCUUGUCUCUGCUUGCAUAGUCUGGACUGGCUGAGUGCCUGCCUGCAGCAAAGAUCGUGGUGCAGUUAGGUUUUGUGAGAGCAUACUCAGUUGGCUUCAUGGGAACCAUGUUUUAUCAUUUUAUUAAAUAUAAUUUUUUAUAAUUAUUUUGCUUGAAUCUUUAUUCUUUUCUAACCAGGCCUUAAUCAAUACCAAGCCUUGAUUGGUGAUGGGAUCCCAUGGAUCCAACUUUAGUGGGAAGGUCGAAGAGAAAAAGAGAAAUCCUUGUUGGUUUCUUGAACCCCAAGUCAAAGUCAGCUGGAAGCCAAAAGAAUUUUUGACCCAGAAUUUAAAUCUAUUCCCUGAUAGCAGACUUUUAUUCAUUCAGAACCAUUGCUGUAACAGUUUUCAUAUUCAGGGAACCUGAAUGUUAUAUUCUAUUUUUCCAGAUUUAACUGUAACAGCUUUAUUUAUGUGUUGUUUUGGCUCUUUGGAUCCCUUUUCUUGGCCAAUUUUCUAUUCUAUUAUACUGGAUCAUAAAGAAACUUUUAAGAAAUUUUCUCACGUCAAAUUUGAGGGUAAUUUGAGGGUAAAGACAAGAAAAAGCAUCUUUACAUGAUGGCAUAUAGUUGAUUAUUGUACUCUUCCUUCCUUACGGUGACAAGCGAAGCAUCCCAUAUUAUUACGAUGUGGUAAAGUUUAAUCAAAUAAAGAGCCUAAUAAUUACCACAUUAUAUGUGACAUUAAAAUUGCACUAUGAAUUCGGAUGUAGUGGCCUGACCUCAAAGCCAUCACAUUUAAAAUUGAUAUAGUGUAUAAUUACUAACUUGGUUUUUGUCACCUGAAGGCCUCGAAAACUUCUUGAUUAUUAUGAUUUUAUUAAUAGCUUCAUCACGUGGAUAAGCAUGUUACUGCAUAGUAGCCUAUAAUUUAGAAAAAGUGUUACAUUGGUUAGUAAUUUGGAUUUGGUUUGCAUGCCCUAUAGCGUGCAAACCAAGAAGGAAUUUGGAUCAUAUUUGCAGCUUUUCUCUCUAAUGUAAUUUGGAUUUGGUUUGCAUGCCCUAUAGCGUGUAAUAUUAAUAGUAAGCAAGGAUCAUAUUUGCAGCUUUUCUCUCUAAUGUUGUUUCUCUUACUGGAUCACAUAGGGAAUGGUUCAUAUUUUUCGAGUAGAAAGAUAGAAUUACUUCAACAUUGGAGUGCAUGGAUUUAGACCUGGCACUUUGUGAGGAUAUGCCACCUGUUCCCAUGGAUUCUAACACUUUGUGAGGAUAUGCCACCUGUUCCCAUGGAUUCUAGCAUGCUUGAGGAUAGAAAGUUGUAUGAGAAGUGGAAGCGGUCUAGCCGCUUAAGUCUUUACUCAUACAAAGCCAUAUCUCCAGAAAUAUUCAAGAAUCUAUUCCUGCUCUUAUAACUGCAAAGGAAUUUUUAAAUGUAGUUGAAGAGCAAUUUGUUAGCUCCGGCAAAAGUAUUGACAAGCAUCCUAAUGUCUAAACUCUCCUCCAUGAGGCAUGACGGCUCUAGUGGUAUGCACAAGAACAAAAUGGAGAUGAGAGACAUAGCAUCCCAAGUCAAAUCAUUAGAAGUUGACAUGUCCAAGUCGUUUAUUAUGCACUUUGUGCCUAACUAUUUUCCACCAGAAUAUGGACCAUUCAAAAUUCAUUGUAACACAAAAGGAAAAAUGGUCCAUCUAAAGGAGCGGAGAUUGAAGCAAGAGAGACCAGAAAGUGUCCAUUUGACCUCUCAUAAAGUGAAGGAGCAUGCAGAUAUGACAGCUAAGGUCAUGGCAUUCCUACUAAAAAGGACAUGAAGGUGCUAUAAUGAAUUUAUUUCUGAUAUUGCACAAGCUAUAAGUAAAGAUCCAAACUGAAAACCAGUCCUUUUUUUAAUGAAUAAUACCAACUGAAGUUAGUUGAUCCAUGCUUCCUGAAGGUAAUUAGUGCUCUAGGUGGAGGAUUCACCAUUUGUUCAUGGGGCCUUUUCUCUUUGCACUUCCAUAGGUGGAUUGCUGCUGACAUCUCCUAGACACCAGGCUAUAUUUUGUAAUCUAGGUCUGAAGAAAAAAUUGAUUAUGUACCAAACUGGACUUACAGAGAAAGCUUCCUGAAAAAUCAUUUAUCUGUACUAGGGUCUUUAGUAAUUUGUUACAUUUUUCUUGUGAGAGAUGAAAGUAGAACCAAUAGCAAGUAGCAAUUUGACACCUUUUUCCUUCAUCAAACUGUCUCUCUUAUGCUGCACACUUUCCAUAAACAAAUCCUUCAUAAGAUUGGAACGUUGAUCUACCUAUCUGACUCCAUCUUAUAUACCCACUUUCAGAGAAACAUCACAUCUACGUUCCGCAUUUUAAAGUUGUCUUUGUAAUGCCGUAAAUAAGAAGUCUGAAGCUCCUCCAUUCUAGUAUAGAAUUGAACAAUGUAACUCCAAAAAAGAUCUAGAGAUUAUGUAUCAAUUUUUUUCCUUUUAAGUGAUGUGCAAUUAAGCAUUAAUAUUUUCCAUAGUCACAAAAACAAUGGGAAUUUGACACUCAUAAUGAUUCAUUAAUUCAUUUUAUGAUUUCUUACUAUAAAAAUUGGAAGAGUUUCUUUGAAAAUGAACAAUUAGACAUUGCAAGUUUGAAUGAUAAAAGAUAUAGCUAAAAGUUGUAGAUUUUUCAGUUCCUUGAGUGUUUCAACAGUUGAAAUGUUCAGCAUUAUCUGUCUAUGCAGGAUGAUAUAACAGAAAAUUUAACAUUAAAUGUUGAAGUCAAGUAAUUCAAGCAAAUAUACAUAAGGCAUCAAAAGAAAAAGAAAAGAAAAGAAAAGAAAAACAACCUCAUCAUGAUAAUGUAAUUCUCUUUGGUACUCAUCUUCUGAUUUAUGCAUCUGAGCAUUGAUACACUCAAUCCUAUCCUUCAAAUCUUUAAGAGCAUCUUGCACAUCAAGAACUUGGUUGCAACUAUUAUAUUUGUCUGCUUAAAGGAUGAUGUAACAGAAUCAAAAAAGAGACCAGAAUUAGGAAUAAGGGAUUUUAUCAUAUAAUAUAACUACAGAUUUUAAAAGAGAAAUUACAUUGACCAAAUCACAGUGAGACACCAAUUAUCUGUUGAACUAUCUAUUAUUAUUCAACAAUCUGAAAAGAAUUUGCAGAUGGCAGCAUAAGUCACUGUAUUUCUCACAGAAACAAUCUGAAAGAGAUAUUUAAGGACUGGGGUACAUGAAAAGAACUACAUGGUUUAUAAAUUUUGGUUUAUAUAAAAUGCUUGGUAAUUUUGCCACAUAAGCAAGAGCAAAAUAUUCACCCUAAUAUUUCAAACUAAAAGAAAAAUUAAAGAAAGAAUGGACAUUAAGUAUGUAUUUCAAAUCUUUGACAGAGAGGAAAAACUAGGAAAAGCAAGAGCAUAAAAGCAAAACAAAUGUGCAAUUCCACAUACCCUAAAGGAGAAGAAAUUCAUGGUGUCACCAGCUCUAAUAAUGAUGCCACCCUUCAAUGGACUACUUCAUCAGGAAACUCCUUUUGAAAAUCAAAAAUAGUUAACAUAAUCUAUAUGUCAAAAAAAAUGAUGAUCUCUCAAUGAAACAGCCAUAAAUUGACUCUAUUAGAGUGCUCGCUUCCAGCCACCAUGUACACCCUCUAAGAGUAGUUCCCUGUAUCAGCAGCUCCACAUUAAUUUGAUCAUGGGACUGCCAACCAAGGUCAACUGGCUUAGGCAAGAGGAGACCGACACCUACACACACAGACAUACAGAGAGAGAGAGAGAGAAGAAAUGACAUGUUUCUUUCUUCAAGCAUCACCACAUUCUCCUUAAUCCAGGCUACGUUGCUCCACCCUAUGAGGUAGCCUCAACCAGGUAGAAUCAGAUGUAUUCACUAUUAUAAUUUCGAUUCCAAAUUCCUGAGAAAAGUUUGUCCAAGAUUCCAAGCAACAUGAGAGUCACAUUGUAGCUUGGGCUUGGAACCGAACCAAAACACAACACACAUGACCCACCACUGCUCUCUUCUCUCAUGCAUGCACCCCAGCCCCAUUUCCCCUUCACUCCCUUGCUCUUCUCCUCUUCUCUUCUCCACCCAAGCAUCACCACUGCCACCACCUCCUGUUCCGCCACUGUUCGGCAACCAUUCCUCCAACUUCCUCCCUCCUUUCCAUCUCUCUCCCUCUCACUCUCACUCUCUUCUUUCCUCUCUCUCUCUUGCUCACCCGCCCUUGCUCCUCCCUUCUCUUGUCUUUCAAUCUGCCCCUCUUUCCCCCUUCUUCCUCCUAUCUUUCACCAUUUUGUUCAUCUGUUUGAUGAGAUUCCAUCUCCACUCUCUUUCCCUCUUUAUUGCAGUUUUUUCCUCCUAAUCCAAUCAUAAUGGCAUGUUCUAUGUGUAGGGAGAGAUCAUCACCAUAUUGAGCAGGAAGAACAUGGAUUUGAGGCCCUAGUUUCUAGGUACAUGCCUGAUUAAGGUAAAUGCCAAACCCAUUACAUUUAAUUUGGUGGUAUGUUGUAGUUUUGCAGUUGAUUUAGGGAAAAACCUAGGUCUAGGUUUAUGUUGUCAGUCAUGUCCGACGAGUUUCCAGUGAUAUGGCCUACAUCGCUAAAAUUCACAUAUUCUAGAGAUUCCAAUAAGACCAACAUCAAAAUGGAGCUAUAUUUUGAUAAUUGUGGACAACUAUUAUUGUAAAGAAAGUCUAGAUCUAAAAUCGAUAGUGUCUAUCGGGAGCACCGAUCUGGCUAAAAAGCUAACUAUAAAUUAGCUCUCCUAUCUAUUUAAAAUAUUUUUCACCGAGUUUCAUAAUUUUUGGAGUUUCGUUUUAUUAGUUAUGAUUUUUUUGUCUUGCAUGAAAUUUUGGGGGUUAAUUGGAUGAAGGAAUAAUGUGGAUUUUGAUGAUGUAUUUAAAGUUAUAAAAGGGCUAUAGAGAUUAGGUUUUAUGGUAUAGGUUGUUUGUAACUGUUUGGUGUAGGAUACGAUUGUAUUCAAGUAAAAAGACUCUUGUUGGACUUAGCAAGUUUGGUAAGCAACCUCAACCUAUAUAUCCAAAUUAUAUUUUUAUAUUGUAUUGCAAACUUGAAAAUUAUAAAACACUGUUUUUGAUGAAUUGCAUGUUUUUGUACCAAAGGCAAGGAGUUUCGGACGACCAUCCAUAUCAUGCCAAGCUAAUACGGUGUCAGCACAAAGCAUUGGUUAGCACAGGAUGCAUGCCACCAUGAACACGCAUCAGUACCAAUGCUUUCUUGUCAGCAUGUGACAUGAAUGUCACGAUAUGGUACAGUAUUAGUUAGCUAUUGGCAAGGCACAAAUCCAAAAUUUCAACCUUUGUUCUUACCGAAUGUUCCUCGCAAGGUUCGCCAGAUCCUGUACCAGUGCCACACUAGCACAGUAACGGUACGGUAU